GGAUCCAUCCACUGUUCAAAGAAGUAACUAGAACUUCUGGCAUAUUGACUGAGACAGCAGGGGCUGGAGCUGCUUAUAAUCUUUUUCUUUAUAUGCUAGCAAGUCAUGUAAGCUUACUUUUAUUGCUUAUUCAAAUCCAAUUUAUGCAUUUUCCUAGGUACUCAUCAUGUUGUCUUUUAUGAUCACCAAAUACAUCUGGCUUAUCAGUUAGUUGGAGCUUUCUGGUAUUUGCUCUCGGUAGAGUCAGAGGUGCGUUGCUGGCGCACAAAGGUGGAGAAUGGAGACUUGAGUUGUAGAAACCGCAUCCAAGAGACCAUUACACUUCUCAAUCAAACAUGUUCUUUGGUUGACCCUGAUGAUAUCAAAGACGGAGAAAACUACAAUUUUGGAAUCUUUUUUUAUGCUUUACAUUCAGGUGUGGUAAAAUCAACAACAGAAUUUCCCAAUAAGUUCUUCUAUUGCUUUUGGUGGGGUUUGCGCAGUUUAAGGUUGGUCAAAUCUUCUUGUUCUUGCUUUUCAUAUAUAUGCAAAUGCUACGUACUUGUAGCAUGAAGUGUAGAACUUUCAUGUAGUUUCGUUCGUAAUAUUUCUAUACAUUUAUUAUUAGUGUUUGUAACAUCUUUAUAAAGGAAAAGUUAAUGCAAAUUUAUUUGAAGAUGGGUCCCAAAAGAGUACCUAUAUUAAAAACUGUCAUCUUUUGCAGUUCUCUUGGACAAGAUCUCAAGACAAGUACUUAUGUGCCAGAGAUAGCCUUUGCAAUCUUCAUUUCCAUCUUUGGAUUGGUUUUAUUCUCGUCACUUAUUGGAAACAUGCAGGUAAUUCAUUGUCUGCCAGAAAGUAGUUUUUGAAAUUUUAACUUUAUGAUGAGAAGUUGUUAACCAAAUAUUCUCCCAUUAUUGUGUUGAACGUUGUUACAGGAAUAUUUGCAAUCUACAACUGUUAGAGUGGAGGAGAUGAGAGUGAAGAGACAGGACGCAGAACAGUGGAUGUCCCACCGUAUGCUACCUGAGAACUUGAAGAGAAGAAUUAGACAUUACGAACAGUAUCAAUGGCAAGAAAAUAGGGGUGUUGAGGAGGAGGCAUUAAUUCGUAACCUUCCUAAAGAUCUCAGAAGGGACAUAAAGCGUCACCUUUGCCUAGCUUUGGUUAAAAAGGUGAGUAUGAUCCAUAAUCAUGUCUCCCCACAUAAUUUUUUUUAUCAAACUUUUGUGUAAUGAACAUUUUCAUGUUCUUAUUCAUCUAGGUGCCAUU
rnacentral:lncRNA from 1 species